GCGCAACCCUUGUCCUUAGUUACCAGCACGUUAUGGUGGGCACUCUAAGGAGACUGCCGGUGACAAACCGGAGGAAGGUGGGGAGUGACGUCAAGUCAUCAUGGCCCUUACGGCCUGGGCUACACACGUGCUACAAUGGUCGGUACAAAGGGUUGCCAAGCCGCGAGGUGGAGCUAAUCCCAUAAAACCGAUCGUAGUCCGGAUCGCAGUCUGCAACUCGACUGCGUGAAGUCGGAAUCGCUAGUAAUCGUGAAUCAGAAUGUCACGGUGAAUACGUUCCCGGGCCUU
rnacentral:rRNA from 1 species